rnacentral:rRNA from 1 species
UGCUACCAUGCAGUCGAGCGGUGAACCCUUCGGGGGGAUCAGCGGCGAACGGGUGAGUAACACGUGAGCAACCUGCCCCUGACUCUGGGAUAGCCUCGGGAAACCGGGAUUAAUACCGGAUAUGACAUCGCCUCGCAUGGGGUGGUGUGGAAAGUUUUUCGGUCGGGGAUGGGCUCGCGGCCUAUCAGCUUGUUGGUGGGGUGAUGGCCUACCAAGGCGACGACGGGUAGCCGGCCUGAGAGGGUGACCGGCCACACUGGGACUGAGACACGGCCCAGACUCCUACGGGAGGCAGCAGUGGGGAAUAUUGCGCAAUGGGCGGAAGCCUGACGCAGCGACGCCGCGUGAGGGAUGAAGGCCUUCGGGUUGUAAACCUCUUUCAGCAGGGAAGAAGCGCAAGUGACGGUACCUGCAGAASAAGCACCGGCUAACUACGUGCCAGCAGCCGCGGUAAUACGUAGGGUGCAAGCGUUGKCCGGAAUUAUUGKGCGUAHAKAGCUCGUAGGCGGUUUGUCGCGUCUGCUGUGAAAACGCGGGGCUCAACUCCGCGCCUGCAGUGGGUACGGGCAGACUAGAGUGCAGUAGGGGAGACUGGAAUUCCUGGUGUAGCGGUGGAAUGCGCAGAUAUCAGGAGGAACACCGGUGGCGAAGGCGGGUCUCUGGGCUGUAACUGACGCUGAGGAGCGAAAGCGUGGGUAGCGAACAGGAUUAGAUACCCUGGUAGUCCACGCCGUAAACGUUGGGCGCUAGGUGUGGGGCUCAUUCCACGAGUUCCGUGCCGCAGCAAACGCAUUAAGCGCCCCGCCUGGGGAGUACGGCCGCAAGGCUAAAACUCAAAGGAAUUGACGGGGCCCCGCACAAGCGGCGGAGCAUGCGGAUUAAUUCGAUGCAACGCGAAGAACCUUACCAAGGCUUGACAUGCAGGGUAAUCCGGCAGAGAUGUCGGGUCCGCAAGGGAUCUUGCACAGGUGGUGCAUGGUUGUCGUCAGCUCGUGUCGUGAGAUGUUGGGUUAAGUCCCGCAACGAGCGCAACCCUCGUCCUAUGUUGCCAGCGCGUGAUGGCGGGGACUCAUAGGAGACUGCCGGGGUCAACUCGGAGGAAGGUGGGGAUGACGUCAAAUCAUCAUGCCCCUUAUGUCUUGGGCUUCACGCAUGCUACAAUGGCCAGUACAAAGGGCUGCGAGACCGUGAGGUGGAGCGAAUCCCAAAAAGCUGGUCUCAGUUCGGAUCGGGGUCUGCAACUCGACCCCGUGAAGUCGGAGUCGCUAGUAAUCGCAGAUCAGCAACGCUGCGGUGAAUACGUUCCCGGGGCUUGUACACACCGCCCGUCACGUCACGAAAGUUGGUAACACCCGAAGCCGGUGGCCUAACCCUUGUGGGGGGAGCCGUCGAAGUGA